rnacentral:rRNA from 1 species
UCAAAUCAUCAUGCCCCUUAUGUCCUGGGCUACACACGUACUACAAUGGCGGUCAUACAACGGGCAGCGACACAGCGAUGUGAAGCAAAUCCCUUAAAAGCCGCCUCAGUUCAGAUCGCAGGCUGCAACUCGCCUGCGUGAAGUCGGAAUUGCUAGUAAUCGCGGAUCAGCAUGCCGCGGUGAAUACGUUCCCGGGCCUU